GAUCUGCAAAAUGGAGAUGUUUCACUUACACCUAAAAUAUAUGCAUGGUUAAAGAAAGAGGCAAAGAGAGGUUGUCAGUAAAAGUACCAAAAUCCUUAAAUUUCCAAAGAUAUCACAUAAUUUCUCUGUUUGUAAUUAUUAGAGCAUGAUAUUAAUGAAAAAGAAGAGAGAAAGAGCAUACAUUUCACGGUUAGGAUCACCCCAGUUAUACCAGCCUUUGGGAAUGAUGAUGUUUUCCAUAUAUGUGUAGGCAAAGACCACGCGAGAAAAGGGUCCCCAAGCCCUUCCAAGUGUAGUUGGUGAAUCAGAGAAACACUGGGCCCCCAAAAAGAAAGGACUAGGCACUUUGGCUAAAGCAACAUUGGUGAGGCCAAAGUCAUAACUCUAGUGAUGUGAAAGAAAUGCAUCGAGACAAAACUACAAUUUGGUUCAAUCUCCGCUCUUGUUCCCUUUUUAUGCUUUUGUCAUGUGGAUUGUGGAGGUACUAAUUUUCUUUUUGGUAGAUUCUGUGCAUUGUUAGUUCAUCCAUAAGUGGUUUUUCUCAUGUUUGAUAAU